UCACCCAUGGCCUAAUGAAUAAGGCGCCUGACUUCUAAUCAAGCAAUUGUGGGUUCGAGUCGCACUGGGUGUG
rnacentral:tRNA from 1 species